UACAGAGGUCUCAAGCGUUGUUCGGAUUCAUUGGGCGUAAAGGGUGCGUAGGCGGCGCGGUAAGUCGGAUGUGAAAUCUCGGGGCUUAACUCCGAAACUGCAUUCCAUACUGCCGUGCUUGAGGACUGGAGAGGAGACUGGAAUUUACGGUGUAGCGGUGAAAUGCGUAGAUAUCGUAAGGAAGACCAGUGGCGAAGGCGGGUCUCUGACAGUUCCUGACGCUGAGGCACGAAGGUCAGGGGGAGCAAAACGGG
rnacentral:rRNA from 1 species